UUCUUCGGGGUUGGGUUAAAUUCCCUACCGGCGGUAAAGCCCGCGAGCGUUUUCGCAUGAUCCGGUGUGAUUCCGGAGCCGACAGUAUAGUCUGGAUGAGAGAAGAA
rnacentral:ncRNA from 1 species